AGUGAACGCUGGCGGCAGGCCUAACACAUGCAAGUCGAACGGCAACACAGUACGAGUUUGCGCUUCCCGGUGGCGAGUCGCGGGCGUGAGAGGUAUAUAUCGUACUCUACUUUUUCGGGGGAGAUCACGUAGGGAAGGUUACUAUAAUACCGCAUCCGCCCUACGGGUGAGAGCGGGGGAUCUUCGCCCCUUGCGCGCUUGUAUGCGCCGAUGUGGGAUUAGCUAGUUGGGGGGGUAAAGGCCCACCAAGGCGACGAUCUGUAGCUGGUCUGAGAGGAUGAUCAGCCACACUGGAACUGAGACACGGUCCAGACUCCUACGGGAGGCAGCAGUGGGGAAUAUUGGACAAUGGGCGCAAGCCUGAUCCAGCCAUACCGCGUGUGUGAAGAAGGCCUUCGGGUUGUAAAGCCCUUUUGUUGGGAAAGAAAAGCAGCAGGUUAAUACCCAGCGGUACUGACGGUACCCAAAGAAGAAGCACCGGCUAACUUCGUG
rnacentral:rRNA from 1 species